UCAUAUUUAACUGGCAUGAUCUUGCCUUCCUGUGCAUAAGGAAAAAAGAAAUGCACUGAACAAAGAGGACAAAGUGCUAAGGUUCCCGUUUGCCUUAUAAAAACUUAAUGAGGGCACACACACACACACACACACACACACACACACACACACACACACAGACCUCAGGGUUCCCGUCUCUUUUUGUUUGUCACUGUCUUCACCCUAUCCCACAGCCCCCGGGCUUCCUUGCCUCUGGAUUACUGGAAUAUGUGAAAAUGAAUGUCCUGAGUGGAAGUGAAAAUUACUUGAUACCAGUUUUGAGAUUUAGGUUAAUCUGAUGUUUUUGAUCAAAGAUGUUUUUGAAGAAAAGCAAUUGAACGGACUCUGGCAUCCUAUAAAGGAUAGAGGAACCCUUCAUUUGAAGUGAAAAUCCUUUGGGGUUUUGUUCUGCAGCUUCUGAACAACAAUGGAGAAAGCAAGUGAUUGGUUCUUUAAUGUCUUAGUUCAAAGUAUUAUUUAACAUAAACCACUUCUACAUUUCCCAGCUAUAACAAAACACAUUUCAGAUGUUCCUCACAUCAAGCACACCACUGAGAUUUCAAAGCUAAACCCUGGAUUUUCUUCUACUGCGAGAUGCUGAGAAUGGUUUGAUAACCCAGGAGACACAUUUAUUUUGCCAGGUUGUUCCUUUCAUGUAUUUAUUAGUUUGCUAUAGGUUGGAGAAAUUAAAAUGUUUUCUUCUUAUUUUUAGCUAAAAGCAGCACUUCAUUUCUGCUUUUUCCCUCAGGCUUAUGGCUGCAUUAAAACAACUUAGAGUUAUUGGAAGAAGCUAACACUCAGGUUCACACUGGAAGAAUGGCUUUCCUUUCUGAAUGGCAAGGCUCAGGAGUUAAAAACUGAAACAUGAUCAGAGAAUGUUCAUGGACUGGAAUCUGGAGUGACCACGGCCUGGAAACCAUCUCCCAAGAGGGGAGGCCAGGAAAACCAGGAGCUGAAAAGAAAACUGAGGACAUGAUAGUCAGCUUCAGAAAUUCCCAGGGACUGGCCUCCAGGGAACCCUCAGCCACAGACUCCAGCCCCGGCUGACAGCUUGGCACUGAUUUUCCGCCGGGAGCACACCAGGCACACAGCCCGCUCUGUCCCAAGAGUGUUCACUUUCACCCUGCGGGUUCAUUUCAUGGACUUAAGCUACUGCCCAAGAUUGGGCCAAGAUGUGGUUGUCAUGGCAACAGCACCCUCGCCUACCUAAGAAUGAUUCCUUUCUCUCCCAGAGUUCAGGAAAAGUCAGCAGACUUUUACUGAAGUGGCAUGGCCAGUAGGCAGAAGGCUCCAGAUUAAAGUUUUUGAGUUUGAAUUGCAGCUUCAACAUAUGCUAAAUGUACGUCCUCAGGCA